UACCAGGCGUGGCAGGUGCCCGGCCGGGUCUCAUAAGCCCGGCGUGCCCGGAUCGUUACCGGGGCCUGGGAU
rnacentral:tRNA from 1 species